rnacentral:lncRNA from 1 species
AGCAAGGCAUCUAAAUAGGAAACGGAUAUCAGGCAACUGAUGAAGCUGAAAAAUAUUUUGAAUAAUAUGUCAACAUGGAAAUUUGUUCAAAAGUAGGAUAAUCAUACUUAUCAUUAGCGUUACAAUUAACAAUCGUUGAAUAACGAAAAAAUAAAGUUUAAAUGAAAUAAUUGUUAUUAGAUUGAAACAGUAAGAACAAAAGUAGAUGCUUUACCUUCGUUUCGUCACAGGAAACAAAUUUUGUAUACGUGGUACGCAAGCAUGGCAAGCUGUGGCAUUUGCUUGACUGAAGAAUUCGUGAAUUGAUGCGACAUUUUUGAGUAAUGGCAAUUUCUACUGAUACUGGCAGGUCAUGCCGCUCGAAAACAGAUGCUGACACAGCUGUCCUAACUACCAGAAGUAAUUAUCUGUCCUAGAGCUACAUAAAUCACUUCCGUGACCAAGAAAAUCGCAUGACCGUAGAAAAUAAAUUCUUUUCGCUGUUAUUUUUCACGUCAUCACCCAUAUUAGCAGUGCAUCUCUUAAAAUACUCAAAAGAAAUUUAAUUACUAAGCUCUGACAUCAAAUGAUGAAUAACACUUUUAAUAGAAACUUGAAAAGAAUGCUUUUGAUGUCACCUACAGGUCUCUUUACUGUAAAGGAGAUUGACAGCUGUAAGUACUGGAUAUGUCUCUUCAUUCAAUUAAAUUAUAGUCAAAUGUAUGAAAGCGUUGGGAUAUACAUAAAGUGUAUCGAAACGUUA